GUGCUUGCUUUGGCAACACAUACACUAAAACUGGAAUGAUACAGAUAAGAUUAGCAUGGCCCCUGCACAAGGAUGACACUCAAAUUCCUGAAGCAUUCCUAUUUUUA
ensembl:snRNA U6 U6 spliceosomal RNA